AUUGCAUUUCUGACAACAUAUACAGUUGUCUUUAACGUUUUAGUUGACAUUUCGAAUAGUGUUUAAAACACUCCCCAAUAAUAUCAUAAUUGUGUACAUUAUUUCUCAAUGACUAAAGAAAAUAAUUCUUAAAAUUUAUUUUACUAUAUCCAAUAAAUAUUCACAAAGUAUGUGAGGUUUUGAUAUCAUCGCCAUGUGGUCAGAGUUUAUCUCUUUCACUAUUGCGGCUCCGAUGUUUUUAAUUUUCCAGCGUUGGAACUCUCAUGGAUUGGUUAUAGCUUCGUCGGCUAUGAUGUAAGCACGCUUUACAUAUCCAAACCUUUCCUUGAAAAAUGGGCUCCUAUUUGACAAAUCUUGCGUAAAAAAAAGAGGUUGGCCUUACUAACGAUUUUGCUAAUGCACAUUUUGUACUUCUAGCAUAUAUUUUCUAGUUCACAACACCAGGUGCAAACUAUUCAUCGUAAUCAUGGCAUUUCCAAAUUCCAAGCAAACCUAACUUUGUUUGAAUCAGCUACUGUUACAAUUUCUACAGAAAACUUUGCAACAAGAAACCAAAAUUUUCAACAUUUUUCUUACAAAAUGUGCGACAAGAGAAAGGUUACACUCUAAGCUUUCUUAUUUUAUGGACGAGUGAUGCAUUUCCCGUGCAGUAAUAUUUUUUCCUCAAAGAAAACGAAAAUUGAACAAUUUCACCUCAAUGAAAGAUCUCCGCUAUCUUAUUACCAGGUACGAAGGUAGCCCUCAAGAUGUAGCAUUAUUGUUAAUG
rnacentral:lncRNA from 1 species